AUUAGUAUUAGGUAUGUUCUUGAAAAUUAAAAGAUUUGGCGGUAUUUUAGACUAUUCAGAGGAACUUGUCCUGUAAUUGAUAAUCCACGAUUUAAGUUACUUUCUUUUUUAGUUUAUAUAUCGUCGUUAUUGAAAAUUUUAAAAAAAUAUAAUUUUCAAGAUUUUUAAUUAGGUAAUAGGUCAGAUCAAGAUGUAGUUUAUAGGAAAGUAGAGAUGAGUUACAAUAUAAAAAAUAAGAAUAUUUAUUAUUAUAAUAAAUUGAAUAUGGAUUUGAAAGUAAUUUAAAUAAAUUUAUUUAAAUGAUUAAGCUCUAAAAUAUGUACACAUCGCCCG
rnacentral:rRNA from 1 species